rnacentral:rRNA from 1 species
GUGAGGUAACGGCUCACCAAGGCUACGACGGGUAGCUGGUCUGAGAGGACGAUCAGCCACACUGGGACUGAGACACGGCCCAGACUCCUACGGGAGGCAGCAGCAGGGAAUUUUGCACAAUGGGCGCAAGCCUGAUGCAGCGACGCCGCGUGGGGGAUGAAUGCCUUCGGGUUGUAAACCCCUUUCAGGAGGGACGAAGCGAAAGUGACGGUACCUCCAGAAGAAGCCCCGGCCAACUACGUGCCAGCAGCCGCGGUAAUACGUAGGGGGCGAGCGUUGUCCGGAUUUAUUGGGCGUAAAGAGCUCGUAGGCGGCUCAACAAGUCGGCCGUUAAAGCCUGAGGCUCAACCUCAGGACGCCGGUCGAAACUGUUGUGGCUAGGGUCCGGUAGAGGAGAGUGGAAUUCCCGGUGUAGCGGUGAAAUGCGCAGAUAUCGGGAGGAACACCAGUAGCGAAGGCGGCUCUCUGGGCCGGUACCGACGCUGAGGAGCGAAAGCUAGGGGAGCAAACAGGAUUAGAUACCCUGGUAGUCCUAGCCGUAAACGUUGGGAACUAGGUGUGGCGGAUUCAUUGACAUCUGCCGUGCCGAAGCUAACGCAUUAAGUU